UACGAAGGGGGCUAGCGUUGCUCGGAAUUACUGGGCGUAAAGCGCACGUAGGCGGAUUGUUAAGUCGGGGGUGAAAUCCUGGAGCUCAACUCCAGAACUGCCUUCGAUACUGGCGAUCUCGAGUUCGGGAGAGGUGAGUGGAACUGCGAGUGUAGAGGUGAAAUUCGUAGAUAUCGGGAGGAACACCAGUGGCGAAGGCGGCGAUCUGGGAAGAUACUGACGCUGAGGUGCGAAAGCGUGGGGAGCAAACAGG
rnacentral:rRNA from 1 species